AAAAUUCAAAAACGAAAUACAAAAACAAAUGGAAUAACACACAAAGCAAAGUAGAGAUUUUUCAAUGUUUUCUCUUUAUCUCUCUUUUCUCUACUUUCGCUU
rnacentral:ribozyme from 14 species